AGUAUAAGGCCUUGUGAGUUCAAAACCCAAGAACCACCAAAAGUAAAAAGAAUUUUAAAAAAUAAAUGAAAGGUAAAGGUUUUAUUUUACUCCAUUAUUUCUUUCAUUCUUUCUUUAUUUAGAUCUGAGCUUCUGACCCAUCUAAUUCGCCUUCGCUCCAAAGAACUUUUUUUUUGACAAGGCCUCAAUAGGUAGUCCAAGCUAGCCUUCAAUUCACUGAUCCUCCUUCAUCUGCCUCCAGAAAAAAAAAUUUUUUUUAAUUAAAAAAAUUUUUUCUUGCAAAGUAGAUCCACUGGCAAUGAGUUCUCUCAUCCUUGUUUACCUGUGAGAGUCUAUUUUGCCUUCACUUUUUUUUUUUUUUUUUUGACCAUUUUUUUUGACCAACUUUAAUUUUCUUAGAUAUAUCAAACAUUUAUUAGUGUUUUUUUUCUUUUAGAAAAAU